AGUCUACACACCAAACCCGCCGACCCGCCGACUCAGCCCGGCGGCUUGGUGUCGGCGACUUUGCUUCAAGAAUCAUGUCGGCGACUCGUACCCGCGCGUGCAAGUCGGCGGCAUGGCCGGCGACUUGCGUACGCGCACGCUCAGUUGCCCGCCGACACUCCAGCGAUAGUGACUUGCUUGUGUUUUUUUUUGCGAUUUUCUGCAAUAAUGGAAUGGGACGAAGAAACCACUCUAAAGUUAAUAAAUUUGUAUCAUAUAAAGGAAUUAUUAUGGAAUCCAAAACACUUGGAUCACAAAUGUAGACCUAAACGUUUUGAUGCACUAAAUGAGAUGGCAAACGAAUUAAAUACAAAUGUCACAGAAAUAGAACGGAAGAUAAAAAAUUUGACGAGCCAAUAUUAUAGAGAAAGAAAAAAAACGAUUGAAUCAAAAAAGUCUGGAACCAGCGCAGAUUUUGUUCAUGAGAGCAAGUGGUUUGCCUUUAAAUCUUUGAAUUUCUUGCUCAAUAAAAAUAAACCUACUGGAACAAUCGAUACGGAGAUAACAGCAACUGACAAUAAUGCCCAACAUGCGGACAAUGAUGCUCAACAUGGGGAAAACGAUUCACCUCAAACGUCAAACAUCAUUCCCCAAGCGAAUAAACGUUAUAAACCUAAUCCAAGUAAUGAGAUGGUGUCGGAAGCAUUAAAUUUAAUGAGAACAGUCAGUCAACGGACAAAUCAAAAAAUAAAAGAUGAGGACGAUUUGUUUGGCGAAUAUAUUGCGACACAACUUAGAAAAUUUGAUAAAACAACAAAGGCAAUAAUAAAACAUCGGAUUAACAAUAUCUUUUUUGAAACCGAAACUGGAUAUCGUUCAGACAUGUUCGAAGCUUCGCCAAGACCUUCUACUUCUCAUAGUCAUCCAGGAUAUUAUACAAUGGAUCAAUGUGAUGUAAAUUCCUACUACUCAUCAUCCAACUCUGCCGUAACAAACCCUGUUUCACCGCCUCUUGGUGAACCUUCAACAUCUUCAAUUGAACCUUCGUUACGUGUGUCGAUUCAAGAGAGUGGUGAUAUUGAGAACAUAUUAUCAUCUAUUGAGUCAGAUAAAUAGGUUUAUUCCACAAAUCCCCACCGUAUGCACUCUGAGAAUAACCCUAUCACCUGAUGCGAGAUAACGUUAUGUAGGCACAAGUAUUUCGUCUUAAUGUUGUUGAAUCGUCAUAGUAUACUCAAAAUGCAUAAAAACAUCAGUGGGGAUUUCGCGGUGGGGAUUUAUAGAAUAACUCGGUAAAUAAAACCACUUAUAAAUGAACAAAAACAAGUGAUUUACGAAGUUUUUAAUACAAAUUAUAAUAAAAAUACAAGUACUAAUACAAGUAUGAGUUUCAUUAAAACGUACGAGUUAGUCAUUGAUCAUUCUGCCAUGGUAAUCUCCCGACAUCGGAAAGAAAAUAUUGAACCAAUUCUGUCCUUAUAACCUCAGGAGAUUGUGUCCUUGUAACCUCAAGGGAAUGUGUAUUGUCUUGUCUAGGCAAGUCAGCAAACAAAUUAUUUUCACGUGGUUCCCUGCGCCAAUCUCCUGGAUUGAUUUCUCCCCUACUAUUUUCAGUAUCAUAUUCAUUUUGUUGUAUUAUACCAUGUCGUUUUACAUAAUUGAACAAAUGAAUACAUGCCAAUGUUACAAUAGUAACUUUUUGUGGAUUUAGCUGGAUGGGUUUGUUAAAUAUCUUAAAUUGUUUUGUUAACUGUCCAAAUACGUUUUCAACUACUCUUCGACCUCGACACAUGCGAUAGUUGUACACUCUCUUGGGAGACCCUUUCGCAUGAUUACCAUCAUAAGGUUUUAAAAUAUUGGUUUGUAAAGGAAACGCAU